CACUCAGGCACUCGGUCUCAUCCUGUCACUCGUGAGAGGAAGAAAAUGAUCGAGGGAUAUCAUGAACGGUAUCAGUAUCGGUACCGAACAGUCUGGUACCGGUACCGUAUACCUUAUAGCUGGUACCGUUAAUAUCAGUACUGGUACCGGUAACUGCCCACCUGUGGCCGCGCUGUCAGUUCAUCAAUCCUCAUUUUGUGCUUCCCCGCCAUACAGGAAGGCCACGGAGGACAUUUUGUGGUGUCUGGAGGAGGAUAAAGGACUCGUGCUUCACCUGACGCCAAGGGACAGACUGUUCCUGGCACCUGAAGACUGAGAAAGAGAGAGAGAGGAGAGGUGUCUGAUGGUGGUGGUGAUGAAGAUCGACUCCCACACACCCUCUUCAAACCUUCCUCGGAGAUGACACAAGGCUCCUCCUCCACUCGAAAGACCCCUGCUGCUCCACCCUACCUCCUCAUUCAGUCCACCUCGCCAUCCACUCCGAGCACCUCCCCCGUGAGACUCCUUGGCCGGCCUGUUGCUGGUAAAAGAGCUGUCAGUGUGCUAAGUCCGCAAGGCUCCCCAACGUAACAUUUGACUUGAUUUUUAGUUUUUUUUAUAUAAUAUUUUUUCUAGAGUGGUUUGUGUCUGCGCUGUUUCUCCGGAGAGCCUUUGAGGUAUCUGUGGAUGUUGAAUAAAGGUCCGAGUUGCUA